rnacentral:lncRNA from 1 species
AAUAAAUAUAUCAUAAAAUUAUUACAACUGCAGUAAUAAUAAUAGCUGGGUGGUUCAUAAACCGGCUAUAAAAGUAAUUGGCGAUCAUUAUGGAAUCAUGUUUGAAAAUUUUUGAGAUUUGCCAUUGAGAACAAUCCUGAGAUGUGGUUUGAUAGGUUAGGUAAGUUAAUCUCCAUAUCGCACUACGAAAAUACAUCAUUUUGCGGCUUCCACUUAUCGAGCUCAUCAUAGGCUGACCAUCCCCUAUCAUGAGCCAACUGAUGGUUGAAAGAUCGGAUUCAAGGGGCCUGGCAUCCAGAAAAACUGGAGGUAAUGGGGCGCGGAUCUUCCACCAUAGUAAGCCUCACUUUUACCACGUGACCAUCCGGCCGAAGAAAUGUGGCUCGAAAACUAUGGACUCUGCUCAUAUUGACAGAUCCACUAUGCACGUUUCAGAGAAAUUUUUAGCAUUUUAUUUCAAAAAAUUCAAGAUUUAAUUGGCUCCCACAUUCGCAGGAUCUGAUUAGCAUCUGAUUAUUUUUUUUGGGAUUAUUUAAAGAGAUGAGUC